AGAGAGAGACAUGCGCGCAUAUCAAUAAGCGGAGGAAAAGAAACUAACAAGGAUUCCCUUAGUAACGGCGAGUGAAGCGGGAAGAGCUCAAAUUUGAAAUCUUCAAGGUUUUACCUUGACGAAUUGUAGUUUAAAGAAGUGUUUUCUGCUGAAGUUUUGGUAAAAGUUCUUUGGAAUAGGACAUCAUAGAGGGUGAGAAUCCCGUAUUUGACCAUUAUUUCAGCUUUGUGAUACACUUUCAAAGAGUCGGAUUGUCUGGGAAUGCAGUCCAAAAUGGGUGGUAAAUUUCAUCUAAAGCUAAAUAUUGGCGAGAGACCGAUAGCGAACAAGUACCGUGAGGGAAAGAUGAAAAGAACUUUGAAAAGAGAGUUAAACAGUACGUGAAAUUGUCAAAAGGGAAGCGUUUGACACCAGUGUUGUUUUCUCGAAAAUCAAUUAAAAAUGGCUCGAUUUUGUAUUGUUGAGACCUUAAAAGCUCACUGUACAUUUUUCGUGUCUUUUUUAAUGCACUUUUCGUUUAACAAGUCAACAUCAGUUUCUUUUGUUGUAAAAGGGUCAUUGGAAGGUGGCUUUCUUUUCGGAGAAAGUGUUUAUAGCCUUUGGCCUCUGCAAUCGGAGAGGACUGAGGUCUGCAGCGUAGACUCUUCGGGGUUAGAUACAUUUGUGCUAAGUUAUAGCUUUUUAUAGACAACUUGUUGACUAUAAUUAGUCUUGUAGCUUACUCGCUUAUGCUAUUUUACCUACGCUUAGGAUGUUGAGUCGUAGAGCACGCAG
rnacentral:rRNA from 1 species